rnacentral:rRNA from 1 species
AAGUCGAACGGUAACAUAAGAAAAGCUUGCUUUUCUUGAUGACGAGUGGCGGACGGGUGAGUAAGAUUUGGGAAACUACCUGAUAGAGGGGGACAACAGUUGGAAACGACUGCUAAUACCGCAUACAGCCUCAGGGUGAAAGAAGAAAUUCGCUAUCAGAUGUGCCCAAACGGGAUUAGCUAGUAGGUGAGGUAAAGGCUCACCUAGGCGACGAUCUCUAGCUGGUCUGAGAGGAUGAUCAGCCACAUUGGGACUGAGACACGGCCCAGACUCCUACGGGAGGCAGCAGUAGGGAAUAUUGCACAAUGGAGGAAACUCUGAUGCAGCCAUGCCGCGUGUGUGAAGAAGGCCUUCGGGUUGUAAAGCACUUUCGGAGGGGAGGAAGAAAAUGACGUUACCCUC